CUUUUCUUGACAACUGCCUUGCACCUUCUCUUUUGGUUAUAAAUCAUAGUCAUCUGUAUUUAAAUGCCCAGUAAGUUACCUUAGUAAGAUAAAAUGAUCUAGCAGUUACUCAUACUUUACAAACUGAGCCACAGUCAUCAUAUAAUGAUAAAACAAAUCACAGUGAAAAAAAAAGCAUGAAGUUUGUUGCUGUGGGUGAGAAGUGAUACAGACGAGAAGACAGGAGCUUGUCUUUUCAGAGGGUGUUUCCAGUCUGGAUUGCCUCACUGGGGAGGUCACCAGUUUAUCUUUAAUAUCCGGAAUACCAAGAGUUACAUUAGAUGCUGACUCGCCACCUGAAGAGUGCCUCCGAGCCAGAAGUCUCUGAUUGAAAAACUUUGGGUAACAAGAAAGGAGAGACCACAAAGGAGUCUUCUGUACCAGGCUGAUCCUGACAUAAAGAAAAAUGUUGAGUGACAUCUUCUACCCUGACAACCCUAAGAGAAGGGAGCAGCUCAUCCGCAAAGGGCAAGAGAUUCAAGAUCUGAUGAAGAGCAACUUCAGAG